ACAGCAGUAGCCGCGGUAAUACAGAGGGUGCGAGCGUUAAUCGGAUUUACUGGGCGUAAAGCGUGCGUAGGCGGCUUCUUAAGUCGGAUGUGAAAUCCCUGAGCUUAACUUAGGAAUUGCAUUCGAUACUGGGAGGCUAGAGUAUGGGAGAGGAUGGUAGAAUUCCAGGUGUAGCGGUGAAAUGCGUAGAGAUCUGGAGGAAUACCGAUGGCGAAGGCAGCCAUCUGGCCUAAUACUGACGCUGAGGUACGAAAGCAUGGGGAGCAAACAGGAUUAGAUACCCCCGUAGUCCCUGUCUCUUAUAC
rnacentral:rRNA from 1 species